GAGGAACCUGCAGCAGAGCCGUUAGAUCAUUGGCAAGUCCUCCAGGCGACCUCGCCCAAGUUGGGCAAGAGCGGCUCCCCGGCUGGCCACCAAAAACCGGGCCUGAUCUGAUUUUUUUUUUUUUUUUUUUUUUUGAGUUUUGCUAUUGUUGCCCAGGCUGGAGUGCAAUUGCGCGAUCUCGGAUCUCGGUUCACCGCAACCUCCGCCUCCUGGGUUCAAGCGAUUCUCCUACCUCAGCCUCCCGAGUAGCUGGGAUUACAGGCAUGCGCCACCACGCCCGGCUAAUUUUGUUUUUUUGUUGUUGUUGUUGUUGUUUUAGUAGAGGCGGUGUUUCACCAUGUUGGCCAGGCUGGUCUUGAACUCCCGACCUCAGGUGAUCCGCCCGCCUCGGCCUCCCAAAGUGCUGGGAUUACAGGCGUGAGCCACCGCGCUAGGCCAAGAAGGAUGUAUUUUAAGAAAGCUUCCUGUUCAAUGUUCCCCUGCUCUGUGCGCUUCUCUGGGCGGUGGUGUUAAAGGAAGCCCCUUCCCUUGAAGUAUCCUGGUGUUCAAAGAAUCUUUCCUCUAUUUACAAAUUAUAAAACCCCGUUGGGAAGAAAUAAUUAGAUGUCAUUAUUGGCUGGUCCUGGUGGCUUACCCCUAUAAUCAUCCUAGCAUGCUUUGGGAGGCCAAGGCAGGGGAGGAUCGCUUGAGCCCAGGAGUUUGAGAGCAGCCUGGGCAGCAUAGUGAGACCGCCAUCUCUUUAAAAAG
rnacentral:sRNA from 1 species